rnacentral:tRNA from 1 species
UCCCUGGUGGUCCAGUGGCUAAGACUCUGAACUCCCAGUGCAGGGGACCCAGGGUUCGAUCCCUAGUCAGGGAA